CCGGUUGAUCCUGCCGGACCUGACUGCUAUCGGAUUGAUACUAAGCCAUGCGAGUCUUUGUAGUAAUACAAGGCAUACGGCUCAGUAACACGUAGUCAACCUACCCUAUGGACGAGAAUAAUCUCGGGAAACUGAGCAUAAUUCUUGAUAGAUCAUAAUGCCUGGAAUGGUUUAUGGUUAAAAUGAUUCGUCGCCAUAGGAUGGGACUGCGGCCUAUCAGCUUGUUGGUGAGGUAAUGGCCCACCAAGGCGAUUACAGGUACGGGCUCUGAGAGGAGAAGCCCGGAGAUGGGUACUGAGACACGGACCCAGGCCCUAUGGGGCGCAGCAGGCGAGAAAACUUUGCAAUGUGCGAAAGCACGACAAGGUUAAUCCGAGUGAUUUCUGCUAAAGAAAUCUUUUGUCAGUCAUAAAACCACUGGCGAAUAAGGGGUGGGCAAGUUCUGGUGUCAGCCGCCGCGGUAAAACCAGCACCUCAAGUGGUCAGGAUGAUUAUUGGGCCUAAAGCAUCCGUAGCCGGCUUUGUUAGUUUUCGGUUAAAUCCAUGUGCUCAACGCAUGGGCUGCCGAAAAUACUGCAUGGCUAGGGAGUGGGAGAGGUAGACGGUACUCAGUAGGAAGGGGUAAAAUCCUUUGAUCUAUUGAUGACCACCUGUGGCGAAGGCGGUCUACCAGAACACGUUCGACGGUGAGGGAUGAAAGCUGGGGGAGCAAACCGGAUUAGAUACCCGGGUAGUCCCAGCUGUAAACGAUGCAGACUCGAUGAUGCAUUGGCAUAAUAGCCAGUGCAGUGUCGCAGGGAAGCCGUUAAGUCUGCCGCCUGGGAAGUACGUACGCAAGUAUGAAACUUAAAGGAAUUGGCGGGGGAGCACCACAAGGGGUGAAGCCUGCGGUUCAAUUGGAAUCAACGCCGG
rnacentral:rRNA from 1 species